UACAGAGGUGGCAAGCGUUGUUCGGAAUUACUGGGCGUAAAGGGUGCGUAGGCGGCGCGGUAAGUCGGGUGUGAAAUCUCCACGCUCAACGUGGAGGGCCACUCGAUACUGCCGUGACUAGAGUCCGGUAGGGGAGUGUGGAAUUCCCGGUGUAGCGGUGAAAUGCGCAGAUAUCAGGAGGAACACCGGUGGCGAAGGCGGGUCUCUGGGCCGAUACUGACGCUGAGGAGCGAAAGCGUGGGGAGCAAACAGG
rnacentral:rRNA from 1 species